rnacentral:rRNA from 1 species
GAUGAACGCUGGCGGCGUGCCUAAUACAUGCAAGUCGAGCGAACGGACGAGAAGCUUGCGUCUCUGAUGUUAGCGGCGGACGGGUGAGUAACACGUGGAUAACCUACCUAUAAGACUGGGAUAACUUCGGGAAACCGUAGCUAAUACCGGAUAAUAUUUUGAACCGCAUGGUUCAAAAGUGAAAGACGGUCUUGCUGUCACUUCUAGAUGGAUCCGCGCUGCAUUAGCUAGUUGGUAAGGUAACGGCUUACCAAGGCAACGAUGCAUAGCCGACCUGAGAGGGGGAUCGCCCACCCUGGAACUGGGACACGGUCCAGACUCCUACGGGAGGCAGCAGUAGGGAAUCUUCCGCAAUGGGCGAAAGCCUGACGGAGCAACGCCGCGUGAGUGAUGAAGGUCUUCGGAUCGUAAAACUCUGUUAUUAGGGAAGAACAUAUGUGUAAGUAACUGUGCACAUCUUGACGGUACCUAAUCAGAAAGCCACGGCUAACUACGUG